rnacentral:tRNA from 1 species
CGCGAGUUAGCGGGAGGUUUUGCGAGUUUCAGCACCUGAUUAGCAGGGCUCAUAACCAGAAGGCCGCAGGUUUAAAUCCUGCCCCCGCAACCA